AAUUAAUUGACUAAUUUAUUGUUUUUUUUGUUUAAAUGAUUCGUGUUUAGUUAGGUAAACAGAUGAUUGUUCAAAGUAUUAACUUGAUCAGAGAAUGUGUGAGUGAGAAAUAGCGUAAUUAUUUAAAGGGACUGAACCCAACAAAUCUAGCCACAUAUGUGAAUACUGAAUCAUUAUUUUCCAUUGUAGGUAUCAAAAAGAAUAAUUAAUUACCAGUAAUUCAUUGACUAAUUGGUUACUUUUUUUUUGUUGAUUCAUAUCUUGUCUAUGCCAAUGAAUAGUUGUGAAAGGUUUCUACUGGAACGAGAAUGGAUUUGGGAGAAACAAGUGUAUACACUUUUUACCAGACAGACAGAAUGAGUGAGUUGAUAUCAGCUUUGUAAAAAAAAAAUAUAUAAAAAUGUUCUAGAUGCUUUACUUAAUACAUCAGACAUCAUUUACGUAGAUAGAAAAUGUUAUGAAAUUUAAAAAAAAUGUAGAUGGCUAGUUGGACACAAUUUUUAAUAUAAACUUUCCUAUUUGGUCCAUAUGGUAAAAAAGCUAACUACCACAAUCGUUUUUAUGUACAAUAGUGUAACACUCUUUCACAGACACUUCUAUUCAGAGAAGUAAACAGCUGAUUAACAAAGAAACAAAAAUGUAGAAUAAUUAUCAAUUAUAUUCAAUUCUGGUACAUAUAUUAGUUCACAGCCAACAAAACGAUGACAGAAAAUUGCAGAUACUGGUAUGUAAAACACUGGUAGAAGAUAAAAACUAUUGUGUAUGCAAAAAAAUGUGAUUUCUUCAAAAUUGUGCCUGUUUUUAAAUAAAACUUAACACUAUUAAAGCUUCUUUAAGUAGGAUCCUCUGCAUCACUUUUAAACAGAAUAGACGGGAAAUUAUUUAAGGUAACCAUUCUUAUAUCCAGGGAGUGAUUUUUGCUUGAUAGCAGUUAUCCGCCUCUUAGGUUCUCACUAUUUCUGUUUUCUCCCAUUGUUCAUAAACACAUACACACUAUCUACAUGCUCUGAGACAUUUAUUUUCCUCAAUUGCAGAGCAAUCAUAAAAAUACAAUAUAUUUACAACUGUAAGGUUAAAGGAUCUUGAGCUUAGGUUUUAUAAGCAUUCUGAAGCAGAAUGAAAUUAGAAUUAGCUGAAUAUUAAAAUUAGGCAAUCAUCAUUCAUAUUGAAUCUAGAAAAUCAUCAGGUUAAUAUUGAAACUAGAAAAUCAUCAGGUUAAUAUUGAAACUAGAAAAUCAUCAGGUUAAUAU